CAACCCUUUCCAAGCCGUCAGUGCCUCCGUCUCUCACUCUCUCUGCCUCCAAGACCUGCAGACUUAGUUCCCGGCGCCACUUCCUCCUCUUCAGAUGCCGUAUCUUUCGAGCUGUCCACUUCGCUUGCUGUUGCUGCUGUUUAAUUUUUUACGACGUUGACUUUGGAGAUUCUUGGUGUGCGUAGGGGCCCAGGCCAGCCAGGCAGCAUUGCAGAG